rnacentral:rRNA from 1 species
UAGAUUGAACGCUUGCGGCAGGCCUAACACAUGCAAGUCGAACGGUAGCACAGAGGAGCUUGCUCCUUGGGUGACGAGUGGCGGACGGGUGAGUAAUGUCUGGGAAACUGCCCGAUGGAGGGGGAUAACUACUGGAAACGGUAGCUAAUACCGCAUAACGUCGCAAGACCAAAGAGGGGGACCUUCGGGCCUCUUGCCAUCGGAUGUGCCCAGAUGGGAUUAGCUAGUAGGUGGGGUAACGGCUCACCUGGGCGACGAUCCCUAGCUGGUCUGAGAGGAUGACCAGCCACACUGGAACUGAGACACGGUCCAGACUCCUACGGGAGGCAGCAAUCGAAUUCCCG